rnacentral:rRNA from 1 species
GGUCAAGCUACAACGGGCGCGCGGUGGAUGCCUCGGUGCCAGGGGCCGAUGAAGGACGCGGCAAGCCUGCGAUAAGCCCCGCCUAGCUGGCAAGCAAGCUCAAGCGGGGAUCUCCGAAUGGGGAAACCCGGCCCGGCAAAACCGGGUCACCCCGGGCCGAACACAGUAGGCCCGGUGGAGGGAACCGGGGGAACUGAAACAUCUUAGUACCCCGAGGAAAAGAAACCAUUCCCUCAGUAGCGGCGAGCGAACGGGGAAGAGCCCAAACCCGGCCGCAUGCGGCCGGGGGUUGGAGGGCCUGCCUGGCCGAAAAGGCAGGGAGUUACCAAUCGCGCACCUAGGGGAACGGUCCUGGAACGGCCGGCCACAGAGGGUGAGAGCCCCGUACUCGAAAGGUGGCGCGACUCCCGGCAGGUUCCUGAGUACCACGGGACACGUGGAACCCCGUGGGAAGCUGGGGAGACCACUUCCCAAGGCUAAAUACCCCUGGCGACCGAUAGUGGACCAGUACCGUGAGGGAAAGGUGAAAAGCACCCCGGGAGGGGAGUGAAAGAGAUCCUGAAACCGCGUGCCUACGUGCAGUCGGAGCCCGCUACGGCGGGUGACGGCGUGCCUAUUGAAGAAUGAGCCGGUGAGUUACUCUGCGUGGCGAGGUUAAGCGAGGAAACUCGCGGAGCCGUAGCGAAAGCGAGUCCGAACAGGGCGCUGAGUCGCGCGGAGUAGACGCGAAACCUGGUGAUCUACCCAUGGGCAGCGUGAAAUCCAGGUAAAACUGGAUGGAGGCGCGAACCCGUCAGCGUUGCAAAGCUGUGGGAUGACCUGUGGGUAGGGGUGAAAUGCCAAGCGAACCAGGAGAUAGCUCGUUCUCCCCGAAAUGCAUUGAGGUGCAGCGUCGGGCGUUCUCCGGCGGAGGUAGGGCUCUGGAUGGGCUAGGGGGCUCACCGCUUACCGAACCCAACCAAACCGCGAAUGCCGUCGGACGAAGCCCGGCAGUGAGACGGUGGGGGAUAAGCUCCAUCGUCGAGAGGGAAACAGCCCAGACCACCAGCUAAGGCCCCCAAGUCCAUGCUCAGUGUGAAAGGAUGUGGGACCGCCCAGACAGCCAGGAGGUUGGCUUAGAAGCAGCCAUCCUUUAAAGAGUGCGUAAUAGCUCACUGGUCGAGUGGUCCUGCGCCGACAAUGUAACGGGGCUAAGCAUGGCGCCGAAGCUGUGGGUCGCCCGCCACGGGCGGGCGGCGGUAGGGGAGCGUCUGCUUCGGCUGUGAAGCGGGUGGCGCGAGCCCCCGUGGAGCGAAGCGGAGUGAGAAUGCCGGCAUGAGUAGCGCAAGGAGCGUGAGAACCGCUCCCCCCGGAAACCUAAGGUUUCCUACGGAAGGUCAAUCCGCGUAGGGUUAGUCGGGCCUAAGCCGAGGCCGAAAGGCGUAGGCGAUGGACAGCUGGUUAGUAUUCCAGCACCGCCCUGAGUGGGCCUGAUGCAGAGGGGGGACCCGGAAGGGUAGGCUCCGCGGGCCCACUGGACAUGGUUCGUUCCUGGCCUGUAGGCGUCUGGGCCGAGGCAAAUCCCGGCCCAGGUCAAGCUGAGGGGUUGGGAGGAGUGGAGACUUCGGUCAAAGCAACGGAGCUGAGCCCACGCCGGCGAGAAAAGCCUCGCUGCUACUGCUCAGGGCGCCCGUACCGCAAACCGACACCGGUAGGUGGCGGUAAGCACCGCAAGGGGAUCGGGAGAACCCUCGUUAAGGAACUCGGCAAAUUGGGUCCGUAACUUCGGGAGAAGGACCGCCUCCCGCUGUGAACCGGCUCGCCCGGGGAGCAGCAGGAGGCCGCAGUGAGCAGGCCCGGGCGACUGUUUACCAAAACCACAGGUCUCUGCGAAAGCGAAAGCUGACGUAUAGGGGCUGACGCCUGCCCAGUGCCGGAAGGUUAAGGGGAGGGGUGCAAGCCCCAAACCGAAGCCCCGGUGAACGGCGGCCGUAACUAUAACGGUCCUAAGGUAGCGAAAUUCCUUGUCGGGUAAGUUCCGACCCGCACGAAAGGCGUAACGACCUGGGCACUGUCUCGACGAGGGACCCGGCGAAAUUGAAUUGACCGUGAAGAUGCGGUUGACCCGCGGCAGGACAAGAAGACCCCGUGGAGCUUUACUGCAGCUUGGCGCUGGGAGUGGGCCUGGGAUGCGUAGGAUAGGUGGGAGGCUGUGAAGCCGGGCUUCCGGGCUCGGUGGAGCCGCCCUUGAAAUACCACCCUUCCCUGGUCUGCUUUCUAACUCGUGACCAAGCACGAGGACAGCGUCUGGCGGGCAGUUUGACUGGGGCGGUCGCCUCCUAAAGCGUAACGGAGGCGCACAAAGGUCCCCUCAGGCUGGAUGGAAAUCAGCCGUCGAGUGCAUUGGCAUAAGGGGGCUUGACUGCGAGACCUACAAGUCGAGCAGGGGCGAAAGCCGGUCAAAGUGAUCCUACGGUACCGUGUGGAAGGGCCGUGGCUUAACGGAUAUAAGCUACCCCGGGGAUAACAGGCUGAUCUUGCCCAAGCGUCCACAGCGACGGCAAGGUUUGGCACCUCGAUGUCGGCUCGUCGCAUCCUGGGGGUGAAGUCGCUCCCAAGGGUUGGGCUGUUCGCCCAUUAAAGCGGUACGCGAGCUGGGUUCAGAACGUCGUGAGACAGUUCGGUCUCUAUCCGCCGCGGGCGUAGGAGGCUUGAGGGGUGCUGCCCCUAGUACGAGAGGACCGGGGUGGACGGACCUCUGGUGUGCCAGUUGUCCCGCCAGGGGCACCGCUGGGUAGCCAUGUCCGGACCGGAUAAGCGCUGAAAGCAUCUAAGCGCGAAGCCGACCCCAAGAUGAGGCCUCCCACCGGGCUAACCGGGUAAGACCACAGGAAGACCACCUGUUCGAUAGGCGCCAGGUGUACGCGCAGCAAUGCGCUCAGCUGAGGCGUACUAAUGGUCGAGGGCUUGACCUG